rnacentral:rRNA from 1 species
GAAUAUUGGACAAUGGGGGGAACCCUGAUCCAGCCAUGCCGCGUGUGUGAAGAAGGCCUUUUGGUUGUAAAGCACUUUAAGCGAGGAGGAGGCUACUCUAGUUAAUACCUAGGGAUAGUGGACGUUACUCGCAGAAUAAGCACCGGCUAACUCUGUGCCAGCAGCCGCGGUAAUACGGGGGGUGCGAGCGUGAAGCGGAUUUACGGGGCGUAAAGCGUGCGUAGGCGGCCAAUUAAGUCAAAUGUGAAAUCCCCGAGCUUAACUUGGGAAUGGCAUUCGAUACUGGUUGGCUAGAGUAUGGGAGAGGAUGGUAGAAUUCCAGGUGUAGCGGUGAAAUGCGUAGAGAUCUGGAGGAAUACCGAUGGCGAAGGCAGCCAUCUGGCUUAAUACUGACGCUGAGGUACGAAAGCAUGGGGAGCAAACA